UGGAAAAAUAAUCAUCUUGUAGAUCUCUGAAACAAAGUGUCCCCAUAGGGUCGCAUUACCUAGAUGGACAAGUACCCGACUCCCAUCCAUGCGAGAGUCCUACUGCAGGCUCUACUUCUUCUUCUCAUAUGUCAUGCUACUACUACACAAUGUCGAAUCAUCGAUGGCAUCGAUAAGGAGAAGAUCAAGUUACACGGGUUGUGCGUUUUAGACAAGCCUGUCCUUGGUGACUACUGUUGCAAAGUGACGAAUAAGUGUUUCAUAGACCUUCAGACAUGCCUUGAUAGGUGCAACCAACCUGCAGGCAUGGUGGCGAUGGAAACCCCUCCUUCACCUACCCUAUUCCCGUCAAAUUGAACUUUUGAUUGGAUAAAUAAUGUAUGAUGUGCAAAAAAAUAUUUGCAAUAAAAAUAAGUAUCUCUGUUGUCGUUAUAUUUGUCAUGUUGCGAUUUCAUUUUGGGCAGCAGUAGAGAGUAGGAAUCUUCGGGAAUAAAAGUUUAAAAUUUUCUUUUU